UACGUAGGUGACAAGCGUUGUCCGGAUUUACUGGGCGUAAAGAGCGCGCAGGCGGUCGUUCAAGUCGAGUGUGAAAGCCCCCGGCUCAACUGGGGAGGGUCAUUCGAUACUGAUCGACUCGAAGGCAGGAGAGGGAAGUGGAAUUCCCGGUGUAGUGGUGAAAUGCGUAGAUAUCGGGAGGAACACCAGUGGCGAAGGCGACUUCCUGGCCUGUUCUUGACGCUGAGGUGCGAAAGCGUGGGGAGCAAACAGG
rnacentral:rRNA from 1 species